rnacentral:ribozyme from 1 species
AAUACAUCAAAAAAAAACGUUGAUGAAAAUCAAAGGAAAGGGAAAAAAAAAAAAGAAAAAAGAAAGAAAAAAAAAGAAACCGCCAGGUCCAAACGAUUGCGUUUUGCUUUCUGAUCCCUUCGCUCCCCCCCCCCCACAUGGUCUCCAUUUUAUUUCCCGUUCAUCACCCGUGAUCUCUACUGAACUUCUCACAACGUCCUCUUGGUCGCGAAGCCGAAAUACAUGCAUUUCAUUUUACCCUUUCAACAGCGAUGGCCCGGGAGACGGGACAUCAGGGAAAGAAAAGGAAAGACCCUUUUGUGUUUUGGAAGGGGAAGGCUUUUGUUAUUUGUUCCUUAAGCUUGCAAUCCCCCCCUCCAAAAAAUAAAAAAGGA